rnacentral:rRNA from 2 species
UUCGGGGUACUCGAGUGGCGAACGGGUGAGUAACACGUGGGUGAUCUGCCCUGCACUUUGGGAUAAGCCUGGGAAACUGGGUCUAAUACCGAAUAGGACCACGCGCUUCAUGGUGUGUGGUGGAAAGCUUUUGCGGUGUGGGAUGGGCCCGCGGCCUAUCAGCUUGUUGGUGGGGUAAUGGCCUACCAAGGCGACGACGGGUAGCCGGCCUGAGAGGGUGACCGGCCACACUGGGACUGAGAUACGGCCCAGACUCCUACGGGAGGCAGCAGUGGGGAAUAUUGCACAAUGGGCGCAAGCCUGAUGCAGCGACGCCGCGUGAGGGAUGACGGCCUUCGGGUUGUAAACCUCUUUCAAUAGGGACGAAGCGCAAGUGACGGUACCUAUAGAAGAAGCACCGGCCAACUACGUGCCAGCAGCCGCGGUAAUACGUAGGGUGCGAGCGUUGUCCGGAAUUACUGGGCGUAAAGAGCUCGUAGGUGGUUUGUCGCGUUGUUCGUGAAAACUCACAGCUUAACUGUGGGCGUGCGGGCGAUACGGGCAGACUAGAGUACUGCAGGGGAGACUGGAAUUCCUGGUGUAGCGGUGGAAUGCGCAGAUAUCAGGAGGAACACCGGUGGCGAAGGCGGGUCUCUGGGCAGUAACUGACGCUGAGGAGCGAAAGCGUGGGGAGCGAACAGGAUUAGAUACCCUGGUAGUCCACGCCGUAAACGGUGGGUACUAGGUGUGGGUUCCUUCCUUGGGAUCCGUGCCGUAGCUAACGCAUUAAGUACCCCGCCUGGGGAGUACGGCCGCAAGGCUAAAACUCAAAGGAAUUGACGGGGGCCCGCACAAGCGGCGGAGCAUGUGGAUUAAUUCGAUGCAACGCGAAGAACCUUACCUGGGUUUGACAUGCACAGGACGCCGGCAGAGAUGUCGGUUCCCUUGUGGCCUGUGUGCAGGUGGUGCAUGGCUGUCGUCAGCUCGUGUCGUGAGAUGUUGGGUUAAGUCCCGCAACGAGCGCAACCCUUGUCCUAUGUUGCCAGCGGGUUAUGCCGGGGACUCGUAGGAGACUGCCGGGGUCAACUCGGAGGAAGGUGGGGAUGACGUCAAGUCAUCAUGCCCCUUAUGUCCAGGGCUUCACACAUGCUACAAUGGCCGGUACAAAGGGCUGCGAUGCCGUGAGGUGGAGCGAAUCCUUUCAAAGCCGGUCUCAGUUCGGAUCGGGGUCUGCAACUCGACCCCGUGAAGUCGGAGUCGCUAGUAAUCGCAGAUCAGCAACGCUGCGGUGAAUACGUUCCCGGGCCUUGUACACACCGCCCGUCACGUCAUGAAAGUCGGUAACACCCGAAGCCGGU